rnacentral:sRNA from 1 species
GUAACCCGCUCUAGCUCCCUUACAGGCUGUGGAAGCAUUGUUCUUUUGCUUUUCACACUAAAUUUUGCUGCUGCUCACUCUUUGGGGCUGCACCACCUUUAAGAGCUAUAACACGGGGAAGGUCCACUGCUUCAUUCUUGAAGUCAGUCAGACCACACCCACCGGAAGGAACCAACGCCCGACACAGCCCCACGCAUCCCUCCUGUUCUCACCUAUACUGAAAUUCUUGGGCAAAAGCUGUCUGUGGACACACCCAGGGGAAAGGCCAGCCCAGGCAGGUAUUUCUUAGUGGUCCCCCUCAGCCAAUGCUUCCCAUUCCUUGAUGCAUCCUUCUAACUAGAGCAGAUGCUCGGUGAUCUUAAACUGUGGACACCUGGGAGCACCCUCAAAAGCCAGCUGGGCCCAGGGAGAUGGCCUGUGCUUCUGUGUCGGGAGUUGGUUCCUUCACGUGGGUUCGUGGUCUCGCUGACUUCAAGAAUGAAGCCAUAGACCUUCGUGCUAGCUAAAGAGUGCGGAUUGGUGCAUUUUACAAACCUCUAGCUACAGAAAAGUUCUCCAAGUCUG